GCCGCAGCGGAAGUGCGCGGAGGAGUUUCGCUUCCGGUGCGCAUUCUACUUCCGGGCGGUGAAGGGGCGGUGCUGGGCGCGGCGCGGCUCCGCUCUCAGCGAGAAGCCCGCGGCGCAGUCCCGAGCGGCGUGCCAUGAGGCCGGAGCGCGUCCCCGGGAUCCGCAGCACGCAGCCCUGAUCCCGCCCCGCUGACGAGCUGCCGGUGCCCGAUAUGGCAACGGAGUCCACAAUCCCCAUUUGGCAGAACAAACCCCACGGCUCGGCGCGCAGCGUCGUCAGGAGGAUUGGAUCCAACCUCCCUUUAAAGCCCUGUCCCAGAGCCACCUUUGAGGUUCUACCUAAUGUUUCAGAGCUCUAUUUAAAUGAUGCCCCUCCUGUCCCCACCCUGGCAGACAUUGGGUGGAUAGCAGCAGAUGAUGAAGAAACGUAUGCCCGAGUCAGAAGCGACACUCGCCCUCUGAAACACAAAUGGAAACCGAGUCCCUUCACGGUCAUACAGCGAAAUGCUUCAGUCCCCAACCUGAGGAAGCAGGAAGAGAAGCUGCUGGCCUUGAAGAAGCCUGGUUUACCUGCACUGAGCCGAACGACGGAGCUCCAGGAUGAGCUGAGUCACCUUCGGAGUCAGAUAGCUAAAAUUGUCGCUGCAGGGCCAGCUUCUGCUUCCUUCACCCCUGAUGUAUUGUCUCCAGGAAGUUCAAAUGCAUCUUCUCCUUUGCAUUGUUUUGGACCCUCUUUCCAAUCCACGACAUCCUUUGUCAUCAGUGACAUCACAGAGGAGGAGGCAGAACUGGAGAGCCCCGAGCUUCCCUCAGUCUCCAUGCUCUGUUCUGCAUCCGAGUGCUACAAAGCAGAACCAAAGGAUCCUGAUGAGGAGGAUUCUGUGUCUCUUUCCAAGGCCAGCAGUUUUGCAGACAUGAUGGGCAUUCUAAAAGACAUUCAUAGGAUGAAGCAGAGCAAAGACUUAAACCGAAGUUCUGCAAAGGAGGAAGACCCUGCUGUUCUGAUAGCAGAAGUCUUGAGAAGAAAGUUUGCCCUAAAGGAGGAAGAUCUGACUCUGAAGGAGAAAUGAUGUUACGGUCAUUCGGCUCCGUAAGCAAAAGUGUUAAGCUCACAAAAUUUCCUCUACAGUAGCUGCCUUCCUAAGGAUUGAACCUUUUGCCACUUUUAUUUAUUAGGAAUUUUCUGCACUGGACACUUAAGAAAGACCCUCUGGAUCUGACAUGUUUUCCAGGUGUUGUUACAUUUAAGAGAAAAAAACCCUUUUUAAGAUGGAAGUUCCUUUUCCUCUGUAUUUUGGUGUUGAUGGCUGGCUAAGGAUCUUCUACAGAGUGCAAGGUCACACGUGCAAUUCUUCCUGUUUGGAGCGUGGUGCAGAGCUGCUGAGAAGGCUGAGCAAUGCUUCCCAGGUCUUCUGUGCUUGGCAGGCCGUGGGUUCACAGUGCUGAAGGAUGUCUUCCUGAUAACUUUGCCUAACCUGAUGGGAGAAUCAAAUGGAAGGAAGUGAUGAAACCCUGCAGUCGCAUCCGAAGGCUGCUGGCUGGUUUUACUCUCUCCUGGGUAUUUCUUAGCUCACUAAUUAUCAUGAUUGCAUGACAGAAUGGCCUUUGUUUCUUGCCAUAAAUUUAAGACUUCAUGGAUGGACCUUG